rnacentral:rRNA from 1 species
AUUAUUGGACAAUGGUGGCAACCCUGAUCCAGCCAUGCCUCGUGUGUGAAGAAGGUCUUCGGAUAGUAAAUCACUUUAAGGUGGGAGGUAUGGCUUUAGGCUAAUACACUGAAGUUCUGUCGUUCGCAACAGAAUAAACUCCGGCUAACCCUGUGCCAGCAGCCGCGGUAAUACAGAGGGUGCAAGCGUUAAUCGGAGUUACUGUGCGUAAAGCGCGCGUAGGUGGUUCAAGAAGAUGAGUGUGAAAUCCCCGGGCUUAACCUGGGAACUGCUUUCAUAACUGCUGAGCUAGAGUACGGUAGAGGGUAGUGGAAUUUCCUGUGUAGCGGUGAAAUGCGUAGAUAUAGGAAGGAACACCAGUGGCGAAGGCGACUACCUGGACUGAUACUGACACUGAGGUGCGAAAGCGUGGGGAGCAAACA